AUAGAGUAUAAAGUUUGCAUAAGCGAAAGUAUACACAAUGGCUUGCACGAGGGCAAGCAAUAGCCAAUAGUGAAAGUAAAUAACUACACUUAGAAAAUCAAUUAUAAUUUUGCAUCAUUUCUUUUUUUUUACAUCUCAUUCCUCCUAAAUAUAACAUUGAUAUUAAAUAAACUCUUUUACAUCAUUCAUGUCCUUUCAUUUAACGACUAUAAUCAUCGAAAUACAAAAGAUGAUAUAUCAAAAGGGUAUGCAACUAAGAAAUAAAUCAUCUCGGGCGGUCUCUACCUAGGGCGCGAUGCCCUUACCGCGGUCGUCUGCCGGCUCACUCGGUCCCGGCUCUGUGAAAAUAGGGGUGUGAGAACUACAACAAAGUUCCCAGUGGGUUCGGCAACCAACCACGCCGACUAUCCCACUAGGUCUAAUCAGGCAUAAUAGAAUAGACGAAAGAAAGUA
rnacentral:lncRNA from 1 species